UUGAACGCUGGCGGCAGGCCUAACACAUGCAAGUCGAGCGGAUGAAGGGAGCUUGCUCCUGGAUUCAGCGGCGGACGGGUGAGUAAUGCCUAGGAAUCUGCCUGGUAGUGGGGGAUAACGUCCGGAAACGGGCGCUAAUACCGCAUACGUCCUGAGGGAGAAAGUGGGGGAUCUUCGGACCUCACGCUAUCAGAUGAGCCUAGGUCGGAUUAGCUAGUUGGUGGGGUAAAGGCCUACCAAGGCGACGAUCCGUAACUGGUCUGAGAGGAUGAUCAGUCACACUGGAACUGAGACACGGUCCAGACUCCUAAGGGAGGCAGCAGUGGGGAAUAUUGGACAAUGGGCGAAAGCCUGAUCCAGCCAUGCCGCGUGUGUGAAGAAGGUCUUCGGAUUGUAAAGCACUUUAAGUUGGGAGGAAGGGCAGUAAGUUAAUACCUUGCUGUUUUGACGUUACCAACAGAAUAAGCACCGGCUAACUUCGUG
rnacentral:rRNA from 1 species